rnacentral:rRNA from 1 species
GACGAACGCUGGCGGCGUGCUUAACACAUGCAAGUCGAACGGAAAGGCCCUGCUUUUGUGGGGUGCUCGAGUGGCGAACGGGUGAGUAACACGUGAGUAACCUGCCCUUGACUUUGGGAUAACUUCAGGAAACUGGGGCUAAUACCGGAUAGGAGCUCCUGCUGCAUGGUGGGGGUUGGAAAGUUUCGGCGGUUGGGGAUGGACUCGCGGCUUAUCAGCUUGUUGGUGGGGUAGUGGCUUACCAAGGCUUUGACGGGUAGCCGGCCUGGGAGGGUGACCGGCCACAUUGGGACUGAGAUACGCCCCAGACUCCUACGGGAGGCAGCAGGGGGGAAUAUUGCACAAUGGGCGGAAGCCUGAUGCAGCAACGCCGCGUGCGGGAUGACGGCCUUCGGGUUGUAAACCGCUUUCGCCUGUGACGAAGCGUGAGUGACGGUAAUGGGUAAAGAAGCACCGGCUAACUACGUG